rnacentral:rRNA from 1 species
GCGAUCCGGAGCGAAUCCCAAAAAUAAACGUCCCAGUUCGGAUUGCAGUCUGCAACUCGAGUGCAUGAAGCUGGAAUCGCUAGUAAUCGCGGAUCAGAAUGCCGCGGUGAAUACGUUCCCGGGUCUUGUACACACCGCCCGUCACACCAUGAGAGUUGAGAAUACCCGAAGCCCAUGUCAAAGUGGUCGAAGGUAGGCUUGAUGAUUGGGGUGAAGUCGUAACAAGGUACC